AAAGAACAGCUAUCUCUCCCAGUGUUGAAGAAGUGGUGUUGUGUAAGAGAUGAACCUUUUCCGUCAACCUUGCCUCAGCCCUUGGCCCUCUGUCACACUUUUGUGACUCUCCAAGGAGACUUUUAUUUUCAGUGGCUCCCAGAAGUUGCGGAUGUGUUAACACCAACACCAGUCAUUGUCCCAGAGGGGAGGGUCUCCAUCACCACCCAGAUGCAGGCCGACUAGAGGCCAGACCCUCAGGCAGCAGCUUUUACAGGGUGCAAGUAUAUAGGGUCCAGGGGGACUGCCAAGUGUGAGCUCGCCCUGCCCGCUCGAGCCAGGCGAUCUGGAAGUGUCCUCUAGGUGGCAGUGGUAAAAAUCGGGGCCAGAUGAGUACAGAAGCGCUUAAUCAGGGGCGUUAGCUAACCAGCGGGAGCCAGGCCGAGGGGGAAGGCGAGGGUGGUGCCCUCCAGGCUCCCUUCCCUCAGAGCGAGUCUGGAGCCGCUAAGCGUGUGCCUAACCUCAAACCCGCCUCUCAGCCCAGCGCUGCAGGCCGGCAAGUAGGCCUCUUUCACAGAAAGAUCUAGGGUCGUCUCUGCGGUGCGCUGGGGUGGCAGUCCGCGGAGAACCUACUCCAGCUCCAGGGACCGGAGGGUAACCCCACCACGCCACCGCCACCGCUAGAGCCAGCCGGCCCCUAGGGGGCAGGCGCAGGAACGGGGCCCUGGCAGUCACGUGUGAGCUCCGCUCCCAGAGAUCCUGGCCCUCUCCAGCGCCCAGAGGUGGAUGGCACCCACCAGCUGGAACGAGGCUGGGUGAGCCCUGCCAGGAAAAACAAAAAACAAAAAACGAAAAGAUGGCACCGCGUUGCUGGAAAGAAGCCGAGGGGGAGCAUGUAAAUGGCGCCCGCAGAGGAAGAGUGCAAAGGUGGUGCCCACCGGCCCCAGCAUGAUGCUUUGGACGCCUGCUCCUCAGGCCACCACUCGCCCUUACCGUCCUGGCGUCUUUCUGGCUGCCUCUGCAGUGACCCCCGGUGCAGGCAGAUGUCCUGGAUCUAAUCCAGGAUUUAACUGAUUCAAGGUUGUUGGGUCCAGUGGAAACCUUGAGACCCCUCCUCCCUGGCUGGCUCUGAAGUCCAAUAUUUGUCUUCUUGGCAUGAUGGGGCCUGAGAAGUAAAAUUAUCUGUCCAGCAUUACAUAGAUUGCAGAGAAUAUGUAGAGAAGUUCAGAGAAGAACAAUCCAAUCAACACUGAAAGAAUACUUAUGACAUUUCCUCAGUGUAAUGGCCCUCAGGGAAACUGCAUUCUAGAGGAGAGUAAAGAAGGUCAUAAAGAGAAGAAAGAGCCAGGAAAGAGUCGAAAUACAUGUUUGCAGACAACUAGGACCUGCCACGCAUCUGCUUCUGCUGUUACUCCUGGAACGCCAGCUUCCUCGGGACCCACUGAGCCACUCAGGGUGACAGCCACAUAUUGCUAAUCCUUCCUGAGGACUUUCAGCGAGAGGAAAAUGUCAACGAGGAGAUCAUCAUUUGGGGAAGAAGUGAAAACCACACAAGGAAAAGAAACUGAAAAGAAGUGGAGCUAAAGAAGAGAAUCAGUCAUUAUAAACUCCCCUGGCCAAAGGCCAGUGUUGCACAAAAAACGGCAGGUCUUAAGGAUGCCUUGACACUGUAUUGUAAGAACCUAAAAUGCUUCGCUGCUCUUAUAUAUACAACGGUGAAGGCCCAAGAGAACAAACAAUGACCUCCGCGAGCAAAACGGAAUUCUGCUAGCAGAACACUUUUGGGCUUGGACUGCAACUCUUCCCCAGAUCUCCAGUUGCCCACCUACUCUUCACACUUUGUACUUGGAACCCCACAAUUGCAUAAGCCAAUUCCUUAAAUAAAACUGUCUUUGUACACA